rnacentral:lncRNA from 1 species
GUUUUUACAGCCAUAACUGUUAGCUCUGAUGAUGCAGUACCAAUACCAGAGGCUGAAGCUGAAGUAAACGCUUGGUUUGAAGCUAAUGUCAAGCCAUUGGCAGACCGUAAGGGCACUUUAGAUGGGAACCUUGAAGCAGCUGAAGCUACUCCCAAAACUAUUAAGGUGAGCGCAGAUGGAAGUGGAGAGUUCAAGACUAUAACAGAUGCUGUUAAGAGCAUUCCAGCCAAAAACACACAACGCGUGAUUGUGGAUAUUGGACCUGGAACUUAUACCGAGAAAAUUACCGUUGAAAAAGAAAAGGGCUUUGUUUCAUUUAUCGGAGUACCUGAGAAGACAAUCAUAGAAUUUGCUGGCACUGCUCAUGAAUAUGGAACUGUGUAUAGCGCCACAUUACAAGUGGAGUCUGAUUUCUUCGUGGGAAGCGGUUAAGUUAUCAAGGACCAUUAACAACGCUUUAGAACUUCCGUUAUUUCUGCUUUUCAUUUCUGUCACGUUUUAACAAUUUAUGGACUUACUAUUGCAUUAGAAUACUGCACCUCCGCCUGAUGGAGUAAGACCUGGAGCCCAAGCAGUUGCUUUCAGAAUUGGUGGAAAUAUGGCAAGUUUUUACAAUUGCAGAUUUAUUGGAUUUCAAGAUACAAUAUGUGAUGACAAAGGGUUUCACUUUUUUAAAGACUGUUACAUUGAAGGCACCGUUGAUUUCAUCUUUGGGAGCGGAAAGUCUAUUUAUCUGGUAAUAAAACUUCCAUUAAAACUCAACAUAUAUUGGAUUUUGUUUAUAUGCACAUAGUAUCUUUAUUUCUUGAAUAUCACCAUCAAUAUAUAUUCCAUGCAGAAUACCCAGUUAGAGGUUAUACAAGAUAAGGACAUGACAGUGAUUGUUGCACAAGCAAGAGGAAAUGCUGAAGAGACUGGCUUUUCAUUUGUUCAUUGUAGCAUAACUGGAAAAGCAAAAGGAGCAUUCCUAGGCCGAGCAUGGAUGCCAGCUCCUAAGGCGAUAUUUGCAUAUAGUACCAUAAGUGAUGUUAUCUGUCCCGAAGGAUGGUCUAACAAUCAACAUCCUGAACGAGAGCCGUAAGAAAUUUUUAACUAAUAUUUGUAAACUCAAUGACUAAUAUAUAACACUCAUUUUGCAUAUUUCAAUAAUUUUCUGUGGGCUUUGCAGAGAGAUCUUCUUUGGAGAAUAUAAAAAUACAGGACCUGGCGCAGCUAUUGAGGGACGUGUUAAAUUUGCCAAGCAACUAACUGAAGCCGAAGUAAAACCUUUCAUUUCUCUCAGUUAUAUUGAAGGUUCUAAAUGGCUGCUUCCUCCUCCCAAAUUGUGAGGAGGUUAUUUGUUGCAAGAAAUAUAUAAAUUUGAGAGCAAUGAUGUUUAGGGUACACGAAGUCAUACUUGCCUGGGGUGAAUAAACUAGGUUAUUAUCAUAAACCUAAUGUAAUUUCUUUUCAGAAUAAUAAUUUUAUAAUUAUCAUAUCUUAUUAUUAUAAAUAUUUUUAUUUUUAGUUAUUUUAAUAGUUUUUCUUCCACAAUUGUCGAUGAAUGUAUGUUUCUCAUGGUUAUAUUUAUUUUCUCUUGAUAAAAAAGGAGAUUUGAUAUUUGUUAAAAGAAUGGUUAAAUACAAUUCAUUUAAAAUUUUUCACUUUAUUCAUUGACAAUGCUAUCCAUACAUUUUAUUUUUUUCAAUAUAUCCUAUCUCUCUAUUUUUUUACUUUAUUAUAUUAUUUUAAUAUUUAUAGUAAAAUUAAAAUUUAAUAAAUAUCUAAAAUUAAGAGAUGAAGCCAUAAAUUUUAUCCCAGCUCGUAUAUUUAAGUAUUUGUAUUAUUUAUUUAAUUUAUUUGUUAACUUAUGUAGUCAUAUUUAAAAAAAAUACAACUCAAAAAUAAAAUAUUCUAAACUAAUGUAGUAGACCAAUUAAUUUUUGUACAAAAUAAAAUAAUCACUAAAAAAAUUAAUUCUUUCCAACUUAUAUUGAUGCCUCCAAAUUAUAUAUUUUUUUCUUGUAUUUAAGUAUUACCUCAAGUCUCAUGUAAUUUUUUAAAAAGACCAAAUAUGGACAUGAGAUAAAAAUAGGACAAAUAAUUUCAAAAAUGGAAAUAUUAACAAAACAUGUUAAUCCAUAUAUAUUUCGAUGUGUUGAAAAUAAUUUAAAGGUUUAUAUAUAUCUUAUGGAAUAAUUUUAGUCCAUUUGGCCUUCAAUACUAAAGUAUUUUAUACUCAUUAAAAUUAUUAGAUACUGGUAUGAAUACAAACUGAAUAAAUGCAACUUAAAUAUGUGUAUUUUAAGUCAAUUUGUAUUUUAAGUCAACUUAAAUAGUAUCAUAGUUGUGGGUUUGCUUUCGCAAGAACCCACGUCUCUACACCAUCCACAAUAGUAAUUUUGAAUAGCUCCAUUAAAACACAUUCGUGAGAGAGAAGGAAAAAAAAUAUUUUAAUGAUAAGUUUCCUAUUACCAACUCUCAUGUUUAAGUUUUAUUUACACUUACACUAAUUCAACACGUUGCAAAAGCUUUUUUCAAUUUUUAAAAUAAAUACGUUUUUGCUUCCGCUGGAUUACUUUUGCUCAACCAAAUUUAUUAUGAUUGAUAUUAUAAAUUCAUAUACUAGAUUUGUUAAUUUUCUAAUACAUUGUUUUUCCUUGAACAUAAACAAUAAUUUCUAUUGUACCAAUUUAAGCAAAAUUACUCCCUCUAACUUAACAAUUGACGAUUGAUUUAUGAAGAGUUAUGGCAGAAUUGAAUUCGGAGAAAAGUGGUCGGAAAAAACAAUAAAUAUGUAUUAAUAGGACCAAAUUUUGAAGAGAUCCAUUCGUGAAAGGAGAGGAAAAAAAAAAAAUUUAAUAUCAAGUUUCCUGAUACCAAUUCUGAUGUUUGAGUUUUAUUUACACUUACACUAAUUCAAGAUAUAGCAAAAGGCUUUUUCGUUUUUUAAAAUAAAUACGCUUUUGCUUUCGCUAGAUUACUUUUGCUAAACCUAAUUUAUUAUGAUUGAUAUUACAAAUUUAUAUACUAGAUUUGUUAAUUUUCUAUUACACGGUUCUUCCCUGAACAUCAAAAAUAGUUUCCACUGUACAAAUUUAGGCAAAAUUACUCCCUCUAACUUAACAAUUGAAGAUUGAUUUAUGAAGAGUUAUGGCAGAAGUGAGUUUGGAGAAAGUGGUCGGAAAAAAUAAUAAAUAUGUAUUAGUAGGACCACAUUUUUAUAUCUAUAACUCAUUUUUUAAGUUAUUAAAAUAGUUAACACUGAAAAGUUUAGGUAAAAUAGUUAAGUUUUAAAUGUAUUUUACAUUGUUUUUUAGUAUGCAAAAAAAAUAUUACUUGUAUUUAUUUUGAAUUACAAAAUAACUAAAGAAAUAAAAAAUAAAAUUAACACAAGCCACAAAUUUCAAACAAGAUAAACGAGAAACACUCCCAUUAUUGCAAAAGAAAGCAAGAGAAUGCGAUAAACUUUCUAAAUCUCAAUUGUAUUCAGACUUCUUCCUCUUCAGUGUUAUAUAAAUUGCCACAUUCAUAACAAAAAAGAAACAUAUCAAGAAACUAAAAAUCUAUACAAGAUGAUUAAACACCUUAGUCUCCUCGCAUUCGUCGAAUAGGCAAUCAUCGCCAUUGUUUUUACAGACAUAAAUGUUAGCUCUGAUGAUGCAGCACCAAUGCCAGAGGCUGAAGCUGAAGUAAACGCUUGGUUUGAAGCUAAUGUCAAGCCAUUGGCAGAUCGUAAGGGCACUUUAAAUGCUGACCUUGAAGCAGCUGAAGCUACUCCCAAAACUAUUACGGUGAGAGCAGACGGAAGUGGAGAGUUCAAGACUAUAACAGAUGCUGUUAAGAGCAUUCCAGCCAAAAAUGCACAACGCGUGAUUGUGGAUAUUGGACCUGGAACCUAUACCGAGAAAAUUACCGUUGAAAAAGAUAAGCCCUUUGUUUCGUUUGUCGGAGUACCUGAGAAGACAAUCAUAGAAUUUGCUGGCACUGCUCAUGAAUAUGGAACUGUGUAUAGCGCAACAUUACAAGUUGAGUCUGAUUUCUUCGUGGGAAGCGGUUUAGUUAUCAAGGUCCAUUUACAAUGCUUUUGCUUUUCUUCCGUUAUUUAUGCUUUUCAUUUCUGUCACAUUUUAACAAUUUAUGGAUUUACUAUCGCAUUAGAAUACUGCACCUGCGCCUGAUGGAAAAAGACCUGGAGCCCAAGCAGUUGCUUUCAGAAUUGCUGGAAGUAUGUCAAGUUUUUACAAUUGCAGAUUUAUUGGAUUUCAAGAUACAAUAUGCGAUGACAAAGGAUUUCACUUUUUUAAAGACUGUUACGUUGAAGGCACCGUUGAUUUCAUUUUUGGGAGCGGAAAGUCUAUUUAUCUGGUAAUAAAACUUCCAUUAGAACUCAACAUAUAUUGGAUUUGUUUAUAUGCACAUGAUAUCUUUAUUUAUGAAUAUCAACAUCAACAUCAACAUAUAUUCUAUGCAGAAUACCCAGUUAGAGGUGCUGCAAGAUAAGGAAAUGACAGUGAUUGUUGCACAAGCAAGAGGAAACGCUGAAGAUACUGGCUUUUCAUUUGUUCAUUGUAGCGUAGCUGGGAAAGCAAAAGGAGCAUACCUAGGCCGAGCAUGGAUGCCAGCUCCUAAGGCGGUAUUUGCAUAUAGUACCAUAAGUGAGGUUAUCUGUCCCGAAGGAUGGUCUAAUAAUGAACAUCCUGAAAGAGAGCCGUAAGAAAUUUUUAACUAAUCUCUUUAAACUCAUAAAAUGACUUAUCUAUAAUACUCAUUUUGCAUAUUUCAAUAAGGUUCUGUGCACUUUGCAGAGAGAUCUUCUUUGGAGAAUUUAAGAAUUCAGGACCAGGCGCAGCUGCUGAUGGACGUGUUAAAUUUGCCAAGCAACUGACUGAAGCAGAAGUAAAACCUUUCAUUUCUCUUAGGAUGCCAGCUCCUAAGGCGAUAUUUGCAUAUAGUACCAUAAGCGAGGUUAUAUGUCCCGAAGGAUGGUCUAAUAAUGAACAUCCUGAAAGAGAGCCGUAAGAAAUUUUAGCUAAUCUCUUUAAUCUCAUAAAAUGACUUAUCUAUAAUACUCAUUUUGCAUAUUUCUAUAAGGUUCUGUGAAUUUUGCAGAGAGAUCUUCUUUGGAGAAUUUAAGAAUUCAGGACCAGGUGCAGCUCCUGAUGGACGUGCUAAAUUUGCCAAGCAAUUAACUGAAGCAGAAGUAAAACCUUUCAUUUCUCUUAUUUAUAUUGAAGGUUCUAAAUGGCUGCUUCCUCCUCCCAAAUUGUGAGGACUAUAUUUAUAGCAGGAAGUAUAUGAAUUUGAGCGCAAUGAUGUUUAGGCGUACAUGGCCAUCUACGCCGGAAGAAUCCCUUGUUAUUUUGGAAGGCCUAUCUUAUGGUUUUGGCAUCUUAGUUACCACUUGUAAAUAAGCCAGAUUAGAGUAAUAUAUCUGGUUCUGCAAUUUUCCCAACAAUGAUUUUGCAAUUAUCUCAUUUAUUAGUUUCAUGUAAUUUUUAGUCAUUUUAUAAUUAUUAGCCCAUAAAUACAUGUUUUCUCCCCCAUUGACUUCAAUUUUCCAUUUGAUACAAACCAUAAAUUUUCUUUCUAAAUACUGAUUAAUAAAUAGAAUAUUCAGAAUAAAGAGUGUCUGCGUGUAAUUAUGGAUAUACUAACUAAAUAAGGAAUGAAAACUAACUAAUUAGGAGCCAAUCAGGUGGUGGUCUGGUUGGUCUUCUCUCUUAUGUGAGGAGUGGGAGGCUGCCCUGUGUUGUAUAGUCCAUAGUAUUAUUUCGGUCUAUAAAAGUCUCUAAUGAAUUUAAAAAACUAACUAAUUAGGAAAAAAAAAAAGAUUUUUUAACUAAAAAGGAAAGAUAAAAUCUAACUACAUAAGAAAAUAUCAUUGCCUUAACUAAAUAGGGACAAAGAUACAUAAUAUAUAAGAACAAUAAAUAAAAUUUUAAAAUAAUAUCCUAAGAAAUAAACAAUAAUGCUAUAUAAGAAUUUCAUCCAAAUAAGUUGUGUUAACUGUUAGGUACACAUACACAUGAAAUUUGUAGCUUUGUAGUGUUGCACUCUAGCUAUGACAAUCUUGAUGCAAUAUAAAUUAAAUCUUUCAUAUUUUAUUCAUAGAAAUUUUUGAGGUCGGAUGGCAUUUAAAUAAUGGAAUGUAUACAUCUCAUGAAUUUGCUAGAUUCUUUCAAUUAAUAGAGAAAAAAAAUGAAGUAUGCUACAUGGAAUUAAUAGAUUUCGAGGUAUCCCCAAUUACAUUAAUUUAGAAGAGAGAAAAAUAUCAUCUCAAUGCUGGAAUUUUCUCAAUUCUAUCAUUAUUAAUCAUUUAAUUUUUUUUCCAAAAAUAUCUUUUAAAUUCAUGGAUUAUAUUUUUUCAUUUAAAUAAUGGAAUAUGAAAUUCCAUUGAUUUUACAAUUCAUAAAUUUUAUAUUUCGUGAAUUUGGUAAAUUUUAUGACCAAAUUUCAUCAAUUUAAAUUAUCUCCUUGAGACUAAAAAAGUGUGAAGUAAGACAGAUGUUAAAAGUUUUAACAAUGAUUGUACAUUUGUUUUUUUUUUUUUUUUUUUUUUCUUGAAAACAUUGUACAUUUGUUGUUAAUCUCUUGCAAGUUCCAUGUGAAUUGAAGAUUUUUUUUUUUUUUUUUAAAGUUUCCGAAUGCUAUAAAUAAUAGAAAUUCAUUGUUCAAGAUCAGUACUACAAAUUAGCACAUUCAUUAAAGUUUUAAGAACCAAACUUUAUGAAAUUCAAACAUGACUAUAUUAAAUUCUAGAAUAUAAAAACUAUGAAGACCUCCUCGACCGUAAGAUUCAGAAUCUGACAGAAUUAAAAAUAUAUUCAUGCAGAAGAUGACAAAAAAUGAAUUUUUUAGAAAUUAUUUCGGUAUUUUUUUUUAGUGUACUUUAAGAUCUGGUUAAAGCUCCACUGAUGAAAAUAAAAAUUUUUUAAAAAUUAUUUCUACUUUAUUUCUUUUUUCCUUUAGCUUUAAAGUCUGGAUUUUUUUCUUACAAAAUCAAGAUAUAGUUGAAGAAUAAUAAUUUCUUUGUCAGGUAAAAAGAAAAAAUUGCAACACAUAAUUUUGAUGUAUGCCACACGGCGGAUUUAUGUUCACGACAAAGUUUCUUUAUAUAUAUAGAAAUAAAAGCAGAGCAGUUUGCAAUAUAUAAAGCAAAGCAUAAGUCUAUGAAAUUAUCAAAUGUGAGGAGAAUAACAAUUAUUUAGGACAAUUAUAGUUGGACAAUAAUUAUUUAGGGUAGUUGUAAGAACAUGAGUUAUUUUAUAUUUUCCAAAAGGUUGGAUGAAUUAUUAAAAAUUAAAAUUAAAAUUAAAAUUAAAUAAAAAAUUAAAAAGAGAUACAGUAGGGACCAACAACCACUGUAAUAUAUACUUACAACUUUUUAUUUUUAUUUUUUAUUUUUCAUUUUUCCCACUCAAUUACGCAUCAUGAUUAAAGUUAGGGUUUCGAAACACAGAUUGCGGAAGAUCAGUAAGCAUUUAUCAGGAUUCUGUUAUUCAUGAUUUAUUUUAUAUGGCUGUUUGGCUCUAAAGAAAACCCUGUAAAAAAACCAUAUCAGUUUCCUUUUGUUUGCGGCAAUUAUAAAGUCUAAGUUUUUCUGUUAGCUUUUAUAUGUUUGUUGUGUGUUCAUAAUGAAUGUGAGAUUCUUUUUUGUUAUCUAAUUUGACAUAACGCACUCAAACAGGAAUUAGUUUGCUUUUUAUUUAAAUGUCCUUUUCUUGGUUUAAUAUUAUUUAGAUAUUGGAAGUCCAAGCAAACUCCAGUAUAACUCCAAGCUUGAAAUCCCUUCAUGAAACCCACAUCAAGUUCUUUUUAAUCUAUUCCAAAAAUCUGUCCAUGAGUAGUUAUCCAGUGCUCAAUUUGCACUUGAAACAACAAAGAUUUUUUUUUUUUUUUUUCCACUCCCCAAGUACCUGUUUAUAAAGCCUAAUUCUCCAAAUAAAUAUCUUUCACUUCUAGCUUUCAUAUCAACCCAAAACCAGGUUUCUACAGGUGAAGAAGACAUUCAGUUUACUUAAAAUAUACAUGUGAUGAUGUGUUGCAGUUUUUGGUUUUGCAUACUAAAGACUCUUUUCAUUAAGCUGCUUCUCCUCUAGGAUGUCAAAUUGGCCAUUCCCAUCUAAUAUGGACGUUCAAACGUAAUAUAAUCUAAAUGACUCUUCUUCAUAUUUAGAAAGGGCAGCUUUUAUUCCUGUAAACCGAGGCAUAAAUUAUUAGUUUCACUAACUGGACUGCGUUAGAGUUUAGGCAGUUUUUGCUCUAUACACUCUCAUGUGUUUGCGUUAGAGUUUUUAUUUGCAUCAAUAUUUUUUCCUAAUGGUUCAUCUUUGAUUUCAGGGAGAUCGUAUCCAUGCACUGAUUAGUAAAAAUAUUAUUCGUUUAUUCAAAUCAAAGAUACACGAGUUUAGAUUAUAUUUCAUGAAGAACUUUAUAAUUGCACCAAAUAAUUAUAUAGAAAAUCGUUUCACAUAUAUUUUCUAUGAGUUGCUACUAUUGAUUUUAUAGGAAAAUAACCGAGUUUGGCUCAUUGUGGUUAAUGCCGUACUUUUUUUCCUAAGUAUUAUUAUUUGAUGCAGUUUAUACCAUGCAUGAUUUUUGUUAUGCAUACCCUAGUAAAAGGCUUCACAUGAUACUUAAGAAUCUCUCAAUAAAAUAAAAUUUUGUAAUGCAUUUCAAUGAGAUACUUUAUUAUACAAUUUUAUUAUUUUUCAAUGCUGUUAUAAAAGAUAAUUUCAUCAUUCAAUAUUGCUUCGUGCAUCACGCAAGUUCUUACAUGAAUAAUAUAUAAAAGUAAUGUAGUUUGCCUUAUAUGGUGUAAGUAGCACAAUUUGCCAUUUGACAUUAUUUUGAAUUAUAGAGUGACAGAUGUUAGAAUUUUAAUACAAUCUGCCACUUGGCGGUGUUUUGAAUUAUAAAAUGACAAAUAUUAGAAUUCUAACACAAAUUAGCAUAAUUGUAAGAAUUGUAAGAAUUGUAAGGAGAUCAGUUAUUUUAUAUUUUCAGAUGAUUCCUUUAUCAACAUAAUAUCUAUAAAAAAAAUUAUCUUUAGCAUUCAAUAUAUUAAUAUAAAUUUAUUUCUUUUUACAAAAUAAUUAAUAAGUAAUCCACACACAUAAAAAAAUUGUGAAUAAACAAUAUAUUACUAUUAAAUAAACAAUAUAUAAACAAUUUAAAAAAUAUAAAUUGUAAUGUACUGAAUACGAUAAUUUUUUUUUAAAAAAAUAUGACAUUCACACGCUUAGAACACAUACAUUCAAUAAGUAAUAUAUUAAUAUUUCAAAUAAAUAAAUAGUCACUUAUAAUAAAUUAUAAAUAAAUUUAAAAAGUUAAUUUCUUAUUUCAAUCAUACAAUUCUAAUUUUGAAGAGCUCCAUUCGUGAAAUGAGAGGAAAAAAAUAUUUAAUAUCAAGUUUCCCAAUACCAAUUCUGAUGUUUGAGUUUUAUUUACACUUACACUAUUUCAAGAUAUAGCAAAAGCCUUUUUCGAUUUUUAAAAUAAAUACGCUUUUGCUUUCGCUAGAUUACUUUUGCUAAACCAAAUUUAUUAUGAUUGAUAUUAUAAAUUUAUAAAUUAGAUAUGUCAAUUUUCUAUUACACAGUUCUUCCUUGAACAUCAAAAAUAGUUUACACUGUAUCAAUUUAGACAAAAUUACUCCCUCUUACUCAACAAUUGACAAUUGAUUUAUGAAGAGUUAUGGCAGAAUUGCGUUUGGAGAAAGUGAUCGGAAAAAAACAAUAAAUAUGUAUUAGUAGGUCCAAAUUUUUACAAUCAUAACUCAUUUUUUAAGUUAUUAAAACAGCAGCACCGAACAGUUUAGGUAAAAUAGUAAAGUUUUAAAUGCAUUUUACAUUUUUUUUUUUUUGUGCAAAAAAAAAAAAAAAUCUUGUAUUUAUUUUGAAUUACAAAAUAAAUAAAUAAAAAAAAAAUAGAAGUGACACAAGCCACAAAUUUCAAACAAGAUACACGAGAAUCACUCCCAUUACUGCAGAAGAAAGCAAGAGAAUGCGAUAAACUUUCUAAAUCUCAAUUGUAUUAAGACUUCUUCCUCUUCAGUGUUAUAUAAAUUGCGAAUUCAUAAUAAAAAAGAAGCAAGAAACAUAUCAAGAAACUAAAAAUCUAUACAAGCUGAUUAAACGCCUUAGUCUCCUCGCAUUCGUCGUAUAUGCCAUCAUCGCCAUUGUUUUUACAGCAAUAACUGUUAGCUCUGAUGAUGCAGCACCAAUACCAGAGGCUGAAGCUGAAGUAAACGCUUGGUUUGAAGCAAAUGUCAAGCCACUGGCAGACCGUAAGGGCACUUUAAAUGCUGACCUUGAAGCGGCUGAAGCUACUCCCAAAACUAUUAAGGUGAGAGCAGACGGAAGUGGAGAGUUCAAGACUAUAACAGAUGCUGUUAAGAGCAUUCCAGCCAAAAAUGCACAACGCGUGAUUGUGGAUAGUGGACCUGGAACCUAUACCGAGAAAAUUACCGUUGAAAAAGAUAAGCCCUUUGUUUCGUUUGUCGGAGUACCUGAGAAGACAAUCAUAGAAUUUGCUGGCACUGCUCAUGAAUUUGGAACUGUGUAUAGCGCAACAUUACAAGUGGAGUCUGAUUUCUUUGUGGGAAGCGGUUUAGUUAUCAAG